AGCAGCCGCGGUAAUUCCAGCUCCAAUAGCGUAUAUUAAAGUUGUUGCAGUUAAAAAGCUCGUAGUUGAAUUUCGGGAUCGAUACGUCGGUCGUGCCUUUGGUACGUACUGUCGUCAUCGAUUUCUCCCUUCUGACGAACCAUGAUGUCAUUAAUUUGGUGUUACGGGAAAUCAGGACUGUUACUUUGAAAAAAUUAGAGUGUUUAAAGCAGGCAUUAGCUUGAAUACAUUAGCAUGGAAUAAUGAAAUAGGACGUUCGAACCUAUUUUGUUGGUUUCUAGGAUCAACGUAAUGAUUAAUAGGGAUAGUUGGGGGCAUUAGUAUUCAAUUGUCAGAGGUGAAAUUCUUGGAUUUAUUGAAGACUAACUACUGCGAAAGCAUUUGCCAAGGAUGUUUUCAUUAAUCAAGAACGAAAGUUAGGGGAUCGAAGACGAUCAGAUACCGUCGUAGUCUUAACCAUAAACUAUGCCGACUAGGGAUCGGAUGAUGUUAAUUUUUUAAUGACUCAUUCGGCGCCUUACG
rnacentral:rRNA from 1 species